GUCGAGAAUCUUUCACAAUGGGGGCAACCCUGAUGGAGCGACGCCGCGUGGAGGAUAAGGUCUUCGGAUUGUAAACUCCUGUCAUGCGUGAACAAGGUUGCUUGGUUAAUACCUGGGCAAAUUGAUGGUAACGCAAGAGGAAGAGACGGCUAACUCUGUGCCAGCAGCCGCGGUAAUACAGAGGUCUCAAGCGUUGUUCGGAAUCACUGGGCGUACAGGGUGCGUAGGUGGCGUGGUAAGUCAGAUGUGAAAGCCCGGGGCUCAACCUCGGAACUGCAUCCGAUACUGCCAUGCUAGAGUACUGGAGAGGUGACUAGAAUUCUCGGUGUAGCAGUGAAAUGCGUAGAUAUCGAGAGGAAUACCAAAGGCGUAGGCAGGUCACUGGACAGUUACUGACACUGAGGCACGAAGGCCAGGGGAGCGAACGGGAUUAGAUACCCCUGUAGUCC
rnacentral:rRNA from 1 species